rnacentral:rRNA from 1 species
GAUGAACGCUGGCGGCGUGCUUAACACAUGCAAGUCGAACGAAGCACUUUUACAGAUUUCUUCGGAAUGAAGUUUUAGUGACUGAGUGGCGGACGGGUGAGUAACGCGUGGGUAACCUGCCUCACACAGGGGGAUAACAGUUGGAAACGGCUGCUAAUACCGCAUAAGCGCACAGUACCGCAUGGUACAGUGUGAAAAACUCCGGUGGUGUGAGAUGGACCCGCGUCUGAUUAGCUAGUUGGCAGGGCAACGGCCUACCAAGGCGACGAUCAGUAGCCGACCUGAGAGGUUGAACGGCCACAUUGGGACUGAGAUACGGCCCAGACUCCUACGGGAGGCAGCAGUCGGGAAUAUUGCGCAAUGGAGGAAACUCUGACGCAGUGACGCCGCGUAUAGGAAGAAGGUUUUCGGAUUGUAAACUAUUGUCGUUAGGGAAGAUACAAGACAGUACCUAAGGAGGAAGCUCCGGCUAACUACGUG